rnacentral:rRNA from 1 species
UACGUAGGGCGCAAGCGUUAUCCGGAAUUAUUGGGCGUAAAGAGCUUGUAGGCGGUUUGUCGCGUCUGCUGUGAAAUUUCGGGGCUCAACCCCGAACUUGCAGUGGGUACGGGCAGACUAGAGUGUGGUAGGGGAGACUGGAAUUCCUGGUGUAGCGGUGAAAUGCGUAGAUAUCGAGAGGAACACCUGCGGCGAAGGCGGGUUGCUGGGCUGACACUGACGCUGAACUGCGAAAGCUAGGGGAGCGAACGGG